GAUCAUGGCUCAGGAUGAAUGCUGGCGGCGUGCCUAAUACAUGCAAGUCGAGCGGUAAGGCCCUUCGGGGUACACGAGCGGCGGACGGCUGAGUAACGCGUGGGAACAUGCCCCAAAGUGAGGGAUAACGCACCGAAAGGUGUGCUAAUACCGCAUAUGGUCUUCGGAUUAAAGGAUUUUAUCCGCUUUGGGAGUGGCCCGCGUACGAUUAGAUUGUUGGUGAGGUAAACGGGCUCACCAAGUCGACGAUCGUUAACUGGUCUGAGAGGAUGAUCAGUCAGACUGGAACUGAGACACGGUCCAGACUCCUACGGGAGGCAGCAGUAAGGGAAUCUUCCCACAAUGGGCGAAAGCCUGAUGGAGCAACGCCGCGUGCAGGAUGAAGGCCCUCGGGUCGUAAACUGCUUUAUGAGUGAAGAAUAUGACGGUAACUCAUGAAUAAGCACCGGCUAACUACGUG
rnacentral:rRNA from 1 species